rnacentral:misc_RNA from 1 species
AAAACUUAUAUAAGAAAUGUUUAUUAUAGCUUCUGGGAAGAUGAUAACAACUUUGAAGCAAAAACACGGGAUACCAUUUAUUUUGAUCUUUCUCGGUCAAUAUGUAAAUGACUAUAUUGGAAGGAGUGAGUAUGACAAGUAGUAUCAUUUGACAUUCAUUGCCGCCGCCAUAGUUCUCAAUUUCUGAGAGAUUUCUGAGAAUGAUGGUCUCUCUGCAGGAUCAGGGCCCCAACAACUCUCCAUUAGCGCUUUCCAUUCGGGAUCACACCAUGUCGGAAUUUGGGGACGCAGUGUAUGGUUAACAAUUCCUCCUAUUAUUGAAG